UCUAAAUUCCGUUUAUGUCUACCGUCCC
rnacentral:piRNA from 1 species